UUAAAUUGAAGAGUUUGAUCAUGGCUCAGAUUGAACGCUGGCGGCAGGCCUAACACAUGCAAGUCGAACGGUAACAGGAAACAGCUUGCUGUUUCGCUGACGAGUGGCGGACGGGUGAGUAAUGUCUGGGAAACUGCCUGA
rnacentral:rRNA from 1 species